rnacentral:rRNA from 1 species
UACGUAGGUCCCGAGCGUUGUCCGGAUUUAUUGGGCGUAAAGCGAGCGCAGGUGGUUUAAUAAGUCUGAAGUUAAAGGCAUUGGCUCAACCAAUGUACGCUUUGGAAACUGUUAAACUUGAGUGCAGAAGGGGAGAGUGGAAUUCCAUGUGUAGCGGUGAAAUGCGUAGAUAUAUGGAGGAACACCGGUGGCGAAAGCGGCUCUCUGGUCUGUAACUGACACUGAGGCUCGAAAGCGUGGGUAGCGAACA